GGGGGCGAAAGGGCUCGACGGGGGUUAUGAGGCUCAGGUUGCAUGUCGUGGUUCCGUCACCACGUAAAAAGGCGGAAACAAACACAAAAGCCAAUAACGAACUGGCACUUGCUGCUUAAUUAAAUAAGCGGCACGCUGCCCUGAAAUUGUCUGUGUUUCAGGUGACAGCGUCAUAAAGCAGGCUGGCACUGGGGACUUUCCCCUGACCCCAGGGUAAGAUUAAAGGGGAUGGGAUAAUGGAAAGCCUUUCUGCCGGCGGUUCAUUAUCCGAGAUUUAAAAGGCUGGAUAAGCAUGUAGACGCCUGAGAGUAGUACUUUCGGACGCGGGUUCAAUUCCCGCCGCCUCCACCA
rnacentral:tmRNA from 1 species